ensembl:lncRNA
AGAGACGGAGCUGGGGGAAAGCUAGAGAAUCACCAGAUAAAUCAUUUUAGAUGAAAAAAGAUUGUAAUCAUUCAUGAAAUGGGAUCCUUUUUCGUUGCUAAUAUUUCUACAGAACGUCUCUGGAGGAAUAUGUAUAUAUACACACAUAUACAGAUACAUACAGAUGUGAGAGUAGAGGUGAUUUUUCUUCUUUGGACUUGGUAAAACUUGUUGAAAUGACCAUCUGUAACUCUUAGAAGAUGAAUAAUUCAGAAUAUCAAUAUGAACACAGAUUUCUACAAUUGAAGACGGAAAAUGGCCUGGGUUUGUCCCAUACCCAGGAAACUUUAUAUGUUGUCUAAACUGAGCAUCCCAGCAGGCUGCAAGGCAGAUGGCAGCUCAGGAUUCAGAAUGUUGACCGACUCCUACCUGGAUCCACACCACCAAGCUAUAACUCAGCCUGGCUGUGCAGAAAUAGGAGCCCGGCCACGUGGCUGACAGCUUUUUUAACUGCUACUCUCAGCAAUGAGGAACUUCUCCAGCAGUUAAGAUUCAGAAAGGAACUGAAAAGGAAGCAUGUCAAGAGCUACCGAAGGGGAUAUACAGGUCCGACCGGAUACUCAAGCCAAUAAGCCCCCAAGGCUCAGCUAAGCCAGGGGGAGCUAAAAGACUGGGUAUUGCCAAGCUGCCCUCAAGCCCUUGGGACCUCAGGUCAUUAGCCCAGGACAUCACACAGAGGAACUGGACAUCACUACUGGACAUCUGCCUUCAGGUCACUAGAUUCUCAUAAGAAGCUUCAUACUUCAGCCAGGCAGAAAGCUAGUACACACCUGAGGUAGCACCUGAACCACAUCAUUCAAUGCAGAACAUAUGAAAGAGCAAGGAACAGAGUAUAAAUUAUGACAUUAUUUAUGGAAAAACAAAAGGGAGCAGGUGAAGUCAUCUCUGCAAGGGAACAUACUUGGCAGCACUAUCUGGGGUGGGAACUGAACUUGUAGCUUUUGAAUUUUGAAUGAAGUGCGACACUUACAGAACAAAUUAACAUUAAAGGAAAUGCAUAAUACUACAAUCUCAUUGCUAUAAAAAAAAGGAAAACGCUGGAGUUCCCAUCGUGGCGCAGUGGUUAACAAAUCCAACUGGGAACCACGAGGUUGCUGGUUCGAUCCCUGGCCUUGCUCAGUGGGCCGAGGAUCCGGCAUUGCCGUGAACUGUGGUGUAGGUUGCAGAAAC